rnacentral:lncRNA from 1 species
UCCUACCUUUCAUUGGAUCUAUGAGAGGAGCGAUUUUGAUGUGAAGCAAGGGACAGCUAAUGACGUUGCCAUCUCUUCUACAAUCAGCCUGCACCAGUUAUUAUCACCAUCAUCUUCUUGGUUUUGCAGCCAGUUCAAAAGCAUGGAAAGGCAGAGGUUGCAAUUGGUUGAGACCCUUGCAGUAUAGCAGUUAUAGAUGUUAGAUGACAGCCCUUUGGACAGCACUUCUUGUUCCCCUGUUGUGAUAUCCUAGUGUCUAUCUCGAGUAGGCAAUAUGCAUCAGCUGGCACAAGUUGAUGCAGUUGCUCCCCAUGGUAGGUGACCCUUUGUCAUUUGAUAGUUCUAGGAGGGUUUCUCAGUCCACGGACUCUGGAAGAAGAGUUUAUAUACUACAGGAAAAUUCCAGUUUUUAGUUUAAGUAGUACAUAUGAUCUUGAUAUAUUGUACAUGCGUGAAGCAAGAAAG